rnacentral:rRNA from 1 species
UACGGAGGAUGCAAGCGUUAUCCGGAAUCAUUGGGCGUAAAGCGUCCGUAGGUGGCAGUUCAAGUCUGCUGUUAAAGGCUGGGGCUUAACCCCAGACAGGCAGUGGAAACUGAACAGCUAGAGUGUGGUAGGGGUAGAGGGAAUUCCCGGUGUAGCGGUGAAAUGCGUAGAUAUCGGGAAGAACACCGGUGGCGAAAGCGCUCUGCUGGACCACAACUGACACUGAGGGACGAAAGCUAGGGGAGCGAAUGGG